GUAAAGUAGAAGUGGCUGGAAUAAGUAGUGUAGCGGUGAAAUGCAUAGAUAUUACUUAGAACACCAAUUGCGAAGGCAGGUCACUAUGUUUUAACUGACGCUGAUGGACGAAAGCGUGGGGAGCGAACAGGAUUAGAUACCCUGGUAGUCCACGCCGUAAACGAUGCUAACUCGUUUUUGGGCUUUAGGGUUCAGAGACUAAGCGAAAGUGAUAAGUUAGCCACCUGGGGAGUACGUUCGCAAGAAUGAAACUCAAAGGAAUUGACGGGGGCCCGCACAAGCGGUGGAUUAUGUGGUUUAAUUCGAUGAUACGCGAGGAACCUUACCAAGGCUUAAAUGGGAAUUGACAGGUUUAGAAAUAGACUUUUCUUCGGACAAUUUUCAAGGUGCUGCAUGGUUGUCGUCAGCUCGUGCCGUGAGGUGUUAGGUUAAGUCCUGCAACGAGCGCAACCCCUGUCACUAGUUGCCAUCAUUCAGUUGGGGACUCUAGUGAGACUGCCUACGCAAGUAGAGAGGAAGGUGGGGAUGACGUCAAAUCAUCACGGCCCUUACGCCUUGGGCCUGGCAGGUGAUACAAUGGCCAGU
rnacentral:rRNA from 1 species